rnacentral:hammerhead_ribozyme from 1 species
AUCCAGCUGGCGAGUCCCAAAUAGGACGAAACGUACAUCCUGGAU